rnacentral:rRNA from 1 species
AGCAAUCCUUGAGUAAAGUGGCGUACGGGUGAGUAACACGUGGAUAACCUGCCCUCUAGUGGGGAAUACCGUUGGGAAACCGACGACAAUACCGCAUAAGCUCGAGAGAGGAAAGCAGCAAUGCGCUGGAGGAGGGGUCCGCGGCCGAUUAGCUUGUUGGUAGGGUAAUGGCCUACCAAGGCUUUGAUCGGUAGCCGGCCUGAGAGGGCACACGGCCACACUGGCACUGAAACACGGGCCAGACUCCUACGGGAGGCAGCAGUGGGGAAUCUUGCACAAUGGGGGAAACCCUGAUGCAGCGACGCCGCGUGAGCGAUGAAGCCCUUCGGGGUGUAAAGCUCUUUCGGCAGGGAAGAUUAUGACGGUACCUGCAGAAGCAGCUGCGGCUAACUACGUGCCAGCAGCCGCGGUAAUACGUAGGCAGCAAGCGUUGUUCGGAGUUACUGGGCGUAAAGGGUGCGCAGGCGGUCCUGUAAGUAUGGUGUGAAAUCUCCCGGCUUAACUGGGAGGGUGCGCUAUAAACUGCGGGACUAGAGUGUGGGAGAGGAAAGUGGAAUUCCUGGUGUAGCGGUGAAAUGCGUAGAUAUCAGGAGGAACACCGGUGGUGUAAACGGCUUUCUGGACCAUAACUGACGCUGAGGCACGAAAGCGUGGGUAGCAAACAGGAUUAGAUACCCUGGUAGUCCACGCCCUAAACGAUGCAUAUUUGGUGUGGGUCAUUCAGUUGAUCCGUGCCGGAGCUAACGCGUUAAAUAUGCCGCCUGGGGAGUACAGUCGCAAGGCUGAAACUCAAAGGAAUUGAC